rnacentral:rRNA from 1 species
UAGAAUUCCAGGUGUAGCGGUNANNUGNGUAGAGAUCUGGAGGAAUACCGAUGGCGAAGGCAGCCAUCUGGCCUAACACUGACGCUGAGGUGCGAAAGCAUGGGGAGCAAACAGGAUUAGAUACCCUGGUAGUCCAUGCCGUAAACGAUGUCUACUAGCCGUUGGGGCUUUGAGGCUUUAGUGGCGCAGCUAACGCGAUAAGUAGACCGCCUGGGGAGUACGGUCGCAAGACUGAAACUCAAAUGAAUUGACGGGGGCCCGCACAAGCGGUGGAGCAUGUGGUUUAAUUCGAUGCAACGCGANGAACCUUACCUGGCCUUGACAUAGUAAGAACUUUCUAGAGAUGGAUUUUGCCUUCGGGGACUUACAACAGGUGCUGCAUGGCUNUCGUCAGCUCGUGUCGUGAGAUGUUGGGUUAAGUCCCGCAACGAGCGCAACCCUUUUCCUUAUUUGCCAGCGAGUAAUGUCGGGAACUUUAAGGAUACUGCCAGUGACAAACUGGAGGAAGGCGGGGACGACGUCAAGUCAUCAUGGCCCUUACGGCCAGGGCUACACACGUGCUACAAUGGUCGGUACAAAGGGUUGCUACCUAGCGAUAGGAUGCUAAUCUCAAAAAGCCGAUCGUAGUCCGGAUUGGAGUCUGCAACUCGACUCCAUGAANNNGGAAUCGCUAGUAAUCGCGGAUCAGAAUGCCGCGGUGAANNNGUUCCC